rnacentral:piRNA from 1 species
UAGUCAGUGUACAUAACAGA